rnacentral:rRNA from 1 species
GAGUUUGAUCCUGGCUCAGAACGAACGUUGGCGGCGUGCUUAACACAUGCAAGUCGAACGAGAACGGUUUCUUCGGAGACCUAGUAAAGUGGCGCACGGGUGAGUAACACGUAGAUAACCUGUCCAGGUGUUCGGGAUAGCCCUUCGAAAGGGGGGAUUAAUACCGGAUACGUUAGUCGUGUUAUAAGGCAGAUUAAGAAAGGUGGCCUCUAUUUAUAAGCUAGUCGCAGUUUGGAGGGGUCUGCGUACCAUUAGUUUGUUGGUGGGGUAAAGGCCUACCAGACUUCGAUGGUUAGCGGGUCUGGAGAGGAUGAUCCGUCACACUGGCACUGAAACACGGGCCAGACUCCUACGGGA